UCCGUAGGAACCUGCGGAGGGAUCAUUACAAGUGACCCCGGUCUAACCACCGGGAUGUUCAUAACCCUUUGUUGUCCGACUCUGUUGCCUCCGGGGCGACCCUGCCUUCGGGCGGGGGCUCCGGGUGGACACUUCAAACUCUUGCGUAACUUUGCAGUCUGAGUAAACUUAAUUAAUAAAUUAAAACUUUUAACAACGGAUCUCUUGGUUCUGGCAUCGAUGAAGAACGCAGCGAAAUGCGAUAAGUAAUGUGAAUUGCAGAAUUCAGUGAAUCAUCGAAUCUUUGAACGCACAUUGCGCCCCCUGGUAUUCCGGGGGGCAUGCCUGUUCGAGCGUCAUUUCACCACUCAAGCCUCGCUUGGUAUUGGGCAACGCGGUCCGCCGCGUGCCUCAAAUCGACCGGCUGGGUCUUCUGUCCCCUAAGCGUUGUGGAAACUAUUCGCUAAAGGGUGCUCGGGAGGCUACGCCGUAAAACAAACCCAUUUCUAAGGUUGACCUCGGAUCAGGUAGGGAUACCCGCUGAACUUAAGCAUAUCAAUAAGCG
rnacentral:rRNA from 1 species